GACGAACGCUAGCGGCGUGCUUAACACAUGCAAGUCGAACGCUGAAGCUUGGUGCUUGCACUGGGUGGAUGAGUGGCGAACGGGUGAGUAAUACGUGAGUAACCUGCCCUUGACUCUGGGAUAAGCCUGGGAAACUGGGUCUAAUACUGGAUACGACAUGUCACCGCAUGGUGGUGUGUGGAAAGGGUUUUACUGGUUUUGGAUGGGCUCACGGCCUAUCAGCUUGUUGGUGGGGUAAUGGCUCACCAAGGCGACGACGGGUAGCCGGCCUGAGAGGGUGACCGGCCACACUGGGACUGAGACACGGCCCAGACUCCUACGGGAGGCAGCAGUGGGGAAUAUUGCACAAUGGGCGAAAGCCUGAUGCAGCGACGCCGCGUGAGGGAUGACGGCCUUCGGGUUGUAAACCUCUUUCAGCACGGAAGAAGCGAAAGUGACGGUACGUGCAGAAGAAGCGCCGGCUAACUACGUG
rnacentral:rRNA from 1 species